UUGGCCCAACUUGGAGAGCCUAACUCUAGUGUUAUCUGGACCUAUGUCUCUCACAGGAAAUCUUUGGAUUUGACCUUCCAAGUCCAACCACAUACAACUUUGAAGAGGAAACCUAUUGGGAGUCGCAAACUCAGUCAUUCCCUUGUUUGAAAACCUCUCUGAAGGAAAUCAAGAUAAUUGGGCUUAUGGGAAUAAGAAAUGAGGUGCAGAUGAUCAUGUUCUUGCUGAAGAAUGCAACCAUCCUUGAAAAGGUGGCAUUCUCCCUUUGUGCACCAGACAAUCUUUCCUACAGCCCAGAUGAAUUCAUAAACUUCGGACAGAACUUAAGUAAGAUGUUUGACUUUUUAAGGGGAACCAUCGAAGCUGAAAUAAAAAUUGAAGUGGAACCCUACCCCUACCCCUAUAAUGUCUGCUACCCUAGUUAAGUUUCCCAAACCAUGUUAUGUAAAAUGUGCGGUGUGGCCUUUCUUUUCAGCUUCUUUUCUUUUUCUUUUUUUUUUUCUCCUCUCUUUUUCUCCCCUAUGCAUAUGCAAGUUUGUAUGGUAAGCGCGGAAUGCCAGAUGUAUCAGAUUUCAGACCA